rnacentral:sRNA from 1 species
UUGGUCUGGAGAAAUGUAGUGGAUGUGCGUAUCGACUCCACCAGCGGUCGCAAUCAUGUUCUCACCAGCGUAUACUUCUGUCGAUGCUCCGAUAACCAUACCUUCUGUAACACCUUCCAUGGUGUCUGGGUUACCUGCUUUACCGAUCUUGUGGAUAUGUCCAUCCUUUAGACCAAUGUCAGCUUUGUAGAUACCGGUAUAGUCAACGAUUAACGCGUUAACGAUGACUGAGUCUAGAACU